CCUACGGGAGGCUGCAGUGAGGAAUAUUGGUCAAUGGGAGAGAUCCUGAACCAGCCAAGCCGCGUGAGGGAUGACGGCCCUAUGGGUUGUAAACCUCUUUUGUCGGAGAACAAAACCCGGGACGUGUCCUGGACUGCGUGUAUCCGAAGAAAAAGCAUCGGCUAACUCCGUGCCAGCAGCCGCGGUAAUACGGAGGAUGCGAGCGUUAUCCGGAUUUAUUGGGUUUAAAGGGUGCGUAGGCGGGCCCUUAAGUCAGCGGUGAAAGUUGCGGGCUCAACCCCAGAAGAGCCGUUGAAACUGGGAGACGUGAGUAGGCGAGAGGCAGGCGGAAUGCGCGGUGUAGCGGUGAAAUGCAUAGAUAUCGCGCAGAACUCCGAUUGCGAAGGCAGCGUACCGGGGCCAGACUGACGCUGAGGCACGAAAGCGUGGGGAUCGAACAGGAUUAGAUACCCCUGUAGUC
rnacentral:rRNA from 1 species